GUGGGAUUUCAGAAACUGAUCCACACACUGGACAAGAGGUACCAGCUGCCCUCACGAAACUACUUCUUUCAAACAGCUAUCCCUGAGUUUUACAGCAAAUACCAUGAUGAGGUUCAACUGGAAAUGGUUGAGGUGACGUUCUUUUCCACCACUAUGGACUGUGGUCCAGCAGAACUGAACAAUAUAUUAGUCUAACUGUGCACUUUUUCAAUGAGGAGUUUCAACUGAAAAGCCGUUGCCUGCAAACAUCCUAUUUUCCUGAUGACCACACAGGAGAGAACAUAGCCUUGGGUUUGAGGGAGGCAUUGGCUGCAUGGGACGUCUGUGAAAAGCAUCAGGUCACUAUCACAAUGGUCAAUGGAAUAAAUAUGGUCAAAGUGGUGGGGUUUAAACAGUGCACACGAUUUCAGUGCUUUGGGCAUAGACUUCUUCAUCUGGCCAUUGGAAAUGCCACGAAGAAUAGUGCACAUGCCUAAUGUAUUAACAGUGAAAGCAAAAAGAACAAGAGUGCUUCCAUGUGCAGGAUCAUUAGUAAAUGGCUGUAUGCAGACAGAUUUAACAACGUCACCAAUCAAGAAAAGAAAAAAGACAAAAGGCCAAAUAGCCAUACUUAUACUUGUUUACAUCUGAGAAGUAUACCUAACCACCGUGACCUGCACACAUGGUAUGCUGAAGGG